rnacentral:misc_RNA from 1 species
UUAAAAAAAGAGAAGGAAAAGACCACAAAAGGAAACCUUUACAAGCAAGCCCACCAUAGACACCAAAUGAACAACUAAGUUUUACAAUUCAUAAUACGUGGCAAAUCUUUUCUACUCCUACAACUUGUUUCUUCAAUUUUGUUUGCUACCAAUAAGAUGCUUCCAAAAUUAGUUAGAAGUUUUCCACUAUAGCCUUUGCUUCACCC